GACGAACGCUGGCGGCGUGCUUAACACAUGCAAGUCGAACGGAAAGGCCUGCUUUCCCUUGUGGAUUGCGGGUACUCGAGUGGCGAACGGGUGAGUAACACGUGAGUGAUCUGCCCCCAACUUGGGUAUAAGCCUGGGAAACUGGGUCUAAUUCCCGAUAGGACUGCAGGGUGGUGCCUGUGGUGGAAAACGAUUUUCUAGUGGUUGGGGAUGAGCUCGCGGCCUAUCAGCUUGUUGGUGGGGUAAUGGCCUACCAAGGCGGCGACGGGUAGCCGGCCUGCGAGGGUGGACGGGCAAAUUGGGACUGAGACAAGGCCCCGACGCCUACGGGAGGCAGGAAAGGGGAAAAAUGGAGAACGGGCGGAAGCCUGAAGCAGCGAGGGCGCGUGGGGGAUGACGGCCUUCGGGUUGUAAACUCCUUUCGACCGCGAGGAAGCCACCUGGUUGGAAGGGUGGUGACGGUAGUGGUAGAAGAAGCACCGGCUAACUACGUG
rnacentral:rRNA from 1 species